rnacentral:misc_RNA from 1 species
GAUGAAGAACGUAGCGAAAUGCGAUAAGUAAUGUGAAUUGCAGAAUUCAGUGAAUCAUCGAAUCUUUGAACGCAUCUUGCGCUCCUUGGUAUUCUGAGGAGCAUGCCUGUUUGAGUGUCAUUAAAUUCUCAACUACACUGACUUUGAAUUGGUGUGGCUUGGAUUUGGGGGGAAAAUUUUUGUGGGCUUUUUGUAUAGUCUGCUCCCCUGAAAUUGAUUAGCGGUACCUUUGUGGAACUGUCUACAGGUGUGAUAAUUAUCUACAUCUUAGACAUCUGCUGGAAUGCUGCUUUCUAAACCUUACUUGUAUUGACAAUCUUGACCUCAAAUCAGGUAGGACUACCCGCUGAACUUAAGCAUAUCAAUAAGCGGAGGA